UUAAGUUCAGCGGGUAUCCCCACCUGAUCCGAGGUCAACCUUUGAUGGAGUGUUUAACGGCCGGCCGCCCCCUCUCGCCAGCGGACUUGUGCCACAACGCUGAGAUCGGAGCCGUCCCGCCGGAGACAUUCGGGCGCGGGUCUCCCCGUCGCCCAAUACCAAGCCAGGCUUGAGUGGUGAAAUGACGCUCGAACAGGUGU
rnacentral:misc_RNA from 1 species